rnacentral:rRNA from 1 species
UACGGGGGGAGCAAGCGUUGUUCGGAUUUACUGGGCGUAAAGGGCGCGUAGGCGGCCUGUGCAAGUCAGUUGUGAAAUCUCCGGGCUUAACUGGGAGGGUGCGGCGGAAACUGGGAUGCUAGAGGAUGGGAGAGGUAAGCGGAAUUCCUGGUGUAGCGGUGAAAUGCGUAGAUAUCAGGAGGAACACCUGUGGUGUAGACAGCUUACUGGACCAUUUCUGACGCUGAGACACGAAAGCGUGGGUAGCAAACAGG